rnacentral:lncRNA from 1 species
AUGGAGGCCCUAGGGACUUCGAAGGAAGGGAUCGAGCCAGGGAGAGAAGCCACUAGGCUGCCACCUGCUACGACCCCUCCCUCCAGGCCGCCUCUGUGUUGUAUGCCCAUUUUGGACCCAGAUCUGAGCCUGCCUGCCCCACAGCCUCAAGGCUGUGAGUCCAGGGCCCAGGGCUGUGCUGUGGCCCUGGAGAUGGGUGACAGUGAGGGUUUGGUGGCCAGGGGCGGGUCCCACUGGGCCUCUGGAACUCAGCGCCAGCCCGCCCCUGCUCCCUCGUGCUCCUUGCCAUCCCUGCUUCUUUCUCUUCUCUCUGCCAGUCUGCAUUUACCUCUUGCUUUUCUGUCCUUUACUUUCAUCGUUUCUCCUCCUCUCCUCCUCCCUUCCAGUUCCUCUCCUCUGUCACCCCCUUUUCGUGGGCUCUCUCUUCCCUCUCUUCCCUUUUCUUAUUCCAGCUUUUCCCCUUCAUUUAAAAAUGGAAUUCCUUCUGCCCGCAUCAAUAGGCCUGCACCUUGCUCGGGUCUCUCCCUGCCUCCAGCCCUGGGGUUUCUCAGUGUUGUCCUCGCCCCCAAGGUCUCCCCUUUCUGCCAUUUUUCUGGCCUCCUUUGUUCUGAACCCUCUCGGCAACAGGACUCCCCCCCUCCGAAGGGGGGGUUUGGCCUGUGUCAGCCCAGCCACCCUGCUCAUGCCAUUUGUUCUCAAUUCCCCCCCCCCCCCCGCCCCGCAACUUGGGACGCUGUCUCAGGGCCCAGGAAUGGGGCUGUUUCCCCUGGCUGGGCUGUCAGGGCAGGAUCCACAGGUUCCCUACUACAGGCUCGGUGCAGCCUGGCCAAAGGCGUCGCUCCAUCAACCCUAAGAAGGAAAGAAAAGGGAGCCAACUCCAGAGAUCUGUGGGAUAUGCGGGUGUGGAGGGUGUGGGGUGGGUAUUGGGGAGGCAGAGCAAAAAGGACCAGAUACGGCAAGGCAAAGGACCAGUUGCCUAGUAACUGGUGCCGGCUCCGAGCCUCCAGAGCUCAGGCCACCCCCAGCGGUGGUUUUGGGACUGGGAAUGGAUGA